GUGGAGCUUUAGACCUAAAGUAAACCACGUUUAAUGUACUAGAAUUAAUAGCAAAAACUUAGUGGACAUUUAUUUAAGUGUCUUUGGUUGGGGCGACCGCGGAGUAAAACAUAACCUCCAUGUGGACGGGGAUACUUUCCCUAAAACUCAGAGCCUCCACUCCAAGCAACAGAAAUUCUGACCUUACUGAUCCGGUACAACCGAUUAACGAACCC
rnacentral:rRNA from 1 species